GACACAUGAUGUAUUCUCACGAUGGUCUUCCAAGCCCCAGUGGUGAAGGGGCUUUGACGAACCUGCCGAGAGGCCUUGCUGAAGUCAGCGC